GUCAUUAUUAUAAAAAGAUGUUGCCUGGUGACCUGUCAGAAACCCAUCAUACAGAGUCAGCCAAAAUAAUGUUUACACACAUCAGGAAAAGAAAAACUUGCAUAAAUAUUUCAAUACCAAAUUUAUUCAGACAUCAGAUUAUCACGAGAUUAAUAAAAGUUAUCUUUGGCCUCUACAAUUACAAGAGGUGCUCAAAGUGGUGGCCACUGGCUUCCAGACAUUUCUGUUGUGUUGUAGACGUCACUUGUUGAUGCUCCAUUCAUGAGGGUAGCGCCAUCUGUUGGGAAACCAUCGUACAACAGGACACAGAGUUAUGGUGAUUUGAUCAAACUUAGAAAGAGGAAUCUAUAUGUGUAGAAGUACUUAUAAAAAUGAAAUAUUUAUAAAAGUUUUUCUUUUCCUGAUGUGUGUACAUUAUUUUGGCUGACUGUGAACUUAAUGAGAACAAAACUGUCAUUUAAUUGUUGCUUUGAAAGCUUCUUUAGUGAAAACCAGCUGGUGUUCUGCUUUGAAACAAACUGCUGUUGAGGUCUGUGUUUUUAGGUUUAACCCCACAGUUUCUGAAUGAACUGAUUGUUUUUUUUCCUGAUCAAUGUGGACGUUAUAAUUGAUGGUAACAUUUACUGAUCAUAUAAUCAGCAUGACAAUAUAACAGUAGAACAUUCUGACCACCUGACUAAUACUGUGUUGGUCCCUUUAUGCUGCUAAAACUCCUCUGACCCAGUGGUUCAUCAGAACCUCUGGGGAUGUCCUGUGGAUCCUGUGGAUCCUGUGGGUUGCAGGGUGGAUCCUACCUAGACCAGGCUGAUCCUGGACCAUCCCACAGAUGCUCAAUCAGAUCUGGAUGUGUGCGUUGCCAUGGAUACAUGAGUGUUAAAUUUUGUCCAUGUUUCCAUUUUGGGAAAUUCAGUCCAGUUCCAGAAUGUGGAGGAAUUUAGUCUCACAAUCACAGACAACAAAUAUUAUCUGAAAGUCGGGUUAUUGUUGUUUAUCAGCACAAUACAAAAAGAUUAAUGUUAGAAAUAUUCCAGUUCAGACUCUAGAAUAUCGUGAUUUAUGUAAAUUUACCUCAAUAAUAUGAAUGUUCAGGUUAAGAUUGUGCAGUGAUAUUAUGUAAGUUUAGCUGAUUAAAGUUUAUGACUCUGCACUAAAAUAUUAUUUAAAUUGACAUCAUUAUUAUAAUAUUUAGGGUCAGACCCUACAGUAUUGAGAUUAAGAAAUCAAAUAUUCUAUAAAAUGUAAAUACACUGAACUCAUUUGGAUAUAUUUAAGUGAGACUACAAUAUUAUUUGACACAAAUCUAUUGAAAUCAAAAUUUUAAUAAUUUUCACGCAAACAUUUACUGGACUGAUUUAAAUAUUAAAAUCACUCCUUUCUAAUCCUCUGCUGUACGUUCAAACCUGAGGCCUUAAAUAGAAACACACAAGUAUCUGAUUGAAGGAACUUCUGCAGAGUCCUGGUUCCAGAACAUGAUGAUAGAAUUAUAGACAAACUUUAACAAAAGCUGCCUGAGAGUUUACAGCUUUUUAUGUUGGAUUUCUUCAGUAAUUUAAUGAGUUAUCAGCAAUAAUCAAGUGUUCAUUUGAUGAACUUCAUUUCCUAAAACAUCCAGAAUUGGAGCUCAUAUCUUUGGCAGCUGUAAAGUUUCUGCUCCUUCAAAGUUCACAACACAAUGAAUGAAUUCCUAAAACUCUCUCAAUGCUGGAGAGCGUUUGUGAUGCUGAAGCAGUGACCAGUUUUUCUGUUUCUUCUCUGGAGAUGCACAAUGAGGGACGUCUGCAGAGACUGAGAAAGAGUCUCACCACAUCCUGACAUGAGGAAAAAGACUUUAUUGAAGACUACAAUGAGGAAAACUAUCAGACAGCAGACGGCUGCAUUCAAGGUGAGCUCUGAACAUUUGAUCUGGAACAGGAAUUCAAUAACUGCAGCAUGAGCUUCAUUUCAGUCUGUAGCUGCUGAAUUCAUGGAUGAAUCAUCUGGCACUAGAGAAGAAGACCAUCAAACAUCCAUGUCAGCUGAUGGAGGUCCAAGAGUCUCACCAAACAAACAACCUACAGAGUGAAGACCUCGAAUCUGAUUGGACGGCCUCCUAUUCAGCCACAUCUGUUAACAGUUUAGGCUGUUAGAUUGUUCCAGAUAAGUACAAGAUUCUUCAGAGCCAUUCUACCACGAGCCUGACAGGAAGAACUCCAACAGCUACUGAAUGUUCCUGUGGUUCCCUCAAAGCUACAGGAGGAGCCCUACGAGGACGAGCUGGUCCACCUGAUGGUGGCCAGUCGCUGCAGUUCAAAGCCAACACCGACUACGUGGACUUCUACUGGACCACACGGAGGCCUUCAAACCAGACCAACAAGUUCAGCGACUCCCCAACUCGUGGGUCUGAGGACGCCGCCGAGCCUCGGUCCAGCCGGCCUCCUGUCUGUGGGUGUUUGAGUGCUGAGAGGUUUGUGGAUGCAUGUGAACGUGUCUGUGUUGAAACAGCAGCUUUGGACUCAGUAACGCUGGGAAAAACCAAGAGCUCCUUUAUUUGUGACUUCCACUAAAAAAACUGAAGAAAAUAAGUUUGCCAGGGUUCUGACUGAUAACAGAUUAUUAAAUAAUGAAAAUAAUCAUUUAAAUAUUCAUUUAAACAAUCCUUUUAGGUCUACAUUUCCUUUACACUGACUUCUUGGUAUAUGUACAAGUAUUUUGGGUGGAAUAUACCAUUAAGCCCAAUGUUCAAGGGUUCUUCUGGGAAUAUACCAUUAAACCAACCUUUUAGGUAAAUGUUCCAGGAUGUUGGGUAGAAUAUACCAUCAGAUCAACCUUUUAGGUCUACAUUGGAAGAUUUUAGAGUAGAAUAUUACUCCAAACCAUCCUUUAGGUCUACAUUUAAGGUGGAAUACUCCUUUAAACCAAGAUUUUUUUUUGUUCUACAUUGAAGGAUUUUUUCUAAACCACCCUUUCAGGUCUAUAUUUGAGGUUUUAGGUGGAAUAUUCCUUUUAACCAGCCCCUCAGGUCUCUUUGAGGAUUUUGGAUGGAAUACUUGGUUAAACCAACAUUUUAGGUGCAUGUCCAAGGAUUUUUGGUGAAAUGUUCCUUUAAGGUCGAUGUUUGAGGACCUUGUAGGUGGAAUACUUCCUGAAACCAACCUUUUAGGUCAACAUUCAAAGAUUUAAGGUGGAAUAUUCCUUUAAAUCAACCUAAAUUUCAUGUUUUGGUCAUUAUCAAGUGAGAAACCUCAAUCCAGACUCCUCAUUAUGAUGUUUGAGAUUUAUGCUGCUGUUAUUUGUUUAGUCCAGACUAACUGACAGAAAUCCACAACUGUAAUUUUAUUUCAGGACUCAGUUAUUAAAUGUCAAAACAAUCCAUGUGACUCUAAAAACUCAACAGCUUUACAAACUCUAAGAUUAAACUCUCCACAAGGAUCCAAAAUAAGUUGGACUUCUACAUGAGAGCUUUAAUUAUUCUUCAUCUACUUCCUGAAAAGUUUGGUCAAUAAAAAAGAGAAAAACUAAUAUUUUCAGCUGAACUAAAGACAGACUUUGUGAUUUUUCUGCUCACAUGUUGUGUUGUUGUAAACUUCCUCUUUCAAAUAAAUACCUGCCUAACCCCCUGGAAA